rnacentral:rRNA from 1 species
UUGACCUCAAAUCAGGUAGGACUACCCGCUGAACUUAAGCAUAUCAAUAAGCGGAGGAAAAGAAACUAACAAGGAUUCCCCUAGUAACUGCGAGUGAAA